rnacentral:rRNA from 1 species
UACGUAGGGUGCAAGCGUUAAUCGGAAUUACUGGGCGUAAAGCGUGCGUAGGCGGCUAUGUAAGACAGAUGUGAAAUCCCUGGGCUUAACCUAGGAACUGCAUUUGUGACUGCAUUGCUAGAGUGUGGUAGAGGGAGAUGGAAUUCCGCGUGUAGCAGUGAAAUGCGUAGAUAUGCGGAGGAACACCAAUGGCGAAGGCAAUCUCCUGGACCUGCACUGACGCUGAGGUGCGAAAGCGUGGGGAGCAAACAGG